rnacentral:rRNA from 1 species
CCUGGCUCAGGAUGAACGCUGGCGGCGUGCUUAACACAUGCAAGUCGAACGAUGAUCCCCNGCUUGCAUGGGGGAUUAGUGGCGAACGGGUGAGUAACACGUGAGUAACCUGCCCUUAACUUUGGGAUAAGCCUGGGAAACUGGGUCUAAUACCGGAUAUGACUCCUCAUCGCAUGGUGGGGGGUGGAAAGCUUUUGUGGUUUUGGAUGGACUCGCGGCCUAUCAGCUUGUUGGUGAGGUAAUGGCUCACCAAGGCGACGACGGGUAGCCGGCCUGAGAGGGUGACCGGCCACACUGGGACUGAGACACGGCCCAGACUCCUACGGGAGGCAGCAGUGGGGAAUAUUGCACAAUGGGCGGAAGCCUGAUGCAGCGACGCCGCGUGAGGGAUGACGGCCUUCGGGUUGUAAACCUCUUUCAGUAGGGAAGAAGCGAGAGUGACGGUACCUGCAGAAGAAGCGCCGGCUAACUACGUGCCAGCAGCCGCGGUAAUACGUAGGGCGCAAGCGUUAUCCGGAAUUAUUGGGCGUAAAGAGCUCGUAGGCGGUUUGUCGCGUCUGCCGUGAAAGUCCGGGGCUCAACUCCGGAUCUGCGGUGGGUACGGGCAGACUAGAGUGAUGUAGGGGAGACUGGAAUUCCUGGUGUAGCGGUGAAAUGCGCAGAUAUCAGGAGGAACACCGAUGGCGAAGGCAGGUCUCUGGGCAUUAACUGACGCUGAGGAGCGAAAGCAUGGGGAGCGAACAGGAUUAGAUACCCUGGUAGUCCAUGCCGUAAACGUUGGGCACUAGGUGUGGGGGACAUUCCACGUUUUCCGCGCCGUAGCUAACGCAUUAAGUGCCCCGCCUGGGGAGUACGGCCGCAAGGCUAAAACUCAAAGGAAUUGACGGGGGCCCGCACAAGCGGCGGAGCAUGCGGAUUAAUUCGAUGCAACGCGAAGAACCUUACCAAGGCUUGACAUGAACCGGUAAGACCUGGAAACAGGUCCCCCACUUGUGGCCGGUUUACAGGUGGUGCAUGGUUGUCGUCAGCUCGUGUCGUGAGAUGUUGGGUUAAGUCCCGCAACGAGCGCAACCCUCGUUCCAUGUUGCCAGCGCGUUAUGGCGGGGACUCAUGGGAGACUGCCGGGGUCAACUCGGAGGAAGGUGGGGACGACGUCAAAUCAUCAUGCCCCUUAUGNCUUGGGCUUCACGCAUGCUACAAUGGCCGGUACAAAGGGUUGCGAUACUGUGAGGUGGAGCUAAUCCCAAAAAGCCGGUCUCAGUUCGGAUUGGGGUCUGCAACUCGACCCCAUGAAGUCGGAGUCGCUAGUAAUCGCAGAUCAGCAACGCUGCGGU